rnacentral:tRNA from 1 species
GGGGGUAGCUCAGUGGUAGAGCAUGCAUGUAGCAGGAACGAGGUCCUGGGUUCCAUUCCCAGUACCUCCU